CCUGGGAUUGCCGAAAACCAGUCAAUAGAGUAGGCA
rfam:Chitinophaga eiseniae strain DSM 22224 genome assembly, contig: Ga0070509_101